GCUGGCAAAGACAAUCAUGAACAUACAGUAUACAUCGGUGUACCAAAAAAUUUGCCUUCACUUUGGGGUUGAGAAUGCUCUUGGUUCAAUUAGCCCCGCGUUAUUUUGUCUGUACUAUAGUGUUUGUAAUUUUGCUGGCUUUCUAUCGUGGGAAACCAGGGCAGGAUCUUCUGUCGCCUUGAUGUGAUAUCCUAAUUGUCCAACUUCAUCUUGGGGAAUCCCAGAUUUAAUUUGCAUUAUAGUGUUUUUGAUCACUUUCGGAGUAUCGCGCAAAAGGCAGCGAGUAGUGACUUGGUCGCUGGCUUAACUCUUGGAGCCGUUUUUCUCUCGCCUCAUUCGAACCGAACUAAAUAUGCCUCUAACUGUUCACCAGUGCUGUAUCAUUUAUGGAGUUAUCUGUGGAAUUGUCCUGGCAUACGUGAUCAUCCCUUUCGUUCUUUGGACGGGUGGUUUCGGGAGCACUAUCUCCAAGGGCUCGUUGGCCGCACGCUGGCAAUCGGCGAUCGGAGGCGGGUCAGUCUUCCGCCUGUUGCAGAGGACUGGUGCCAAAGGCUUAGGGAUCUGGGGAGCGUUGUUCAUUAUGGCAGCAUCUACAGCUUUACUGUUGUUUAAAAGUCUUCGGGAGAAUUAGACUGACAUGGACAUGUACAUUAUACUUCAACAAAAGCUUUGGUCAUCGAUAGGCCGUGCCAGACAGAACUCUCAUUCCAAACUGGAACAACCGUUAAUAUCAUAAAGAUAAGAAUGCUAUUCACAGAGAGGAUAUUACAUAUAGACUUCAUUGUACAUUGAGCCAUAAGAAAUUUUUUUGACAAUCGACAAAUUGGACAGACAUUGAUAUUUCCACCCUUUUCAGCCAACUGGCAGAAAAAUCUCAAAACACGCCCCCUAUUGCCCAAUUAUAUAAAUUCAAAAUUAAUAUUUUCAUCAAAUAAUUUCUUUAUAUCUGUAGACUUGCCACAGCAAAUAUUUUUUCAAUACCUCCAAAUACAUGUAUGUACUUGAUAGUUAAAAACAUGCACGCGUCUAAUUGAUAGGUCUGGAACCUCCAACCUAUGAAUAUUCAAUGGUGGUAUUGUCUCAGUUGUACCUAUUUAGUAGGAAUAAGACAUCACGGAUGUAUAGCAGAAAAAUAUGAAGAGUUUAAAUUCAAAACGCACCAAAAUGCCAUUUUUACCAUUUUGAGUAUGUCAACUGUGGGUAAUAAUGGAGAACGCAUGUCAGUUUUAUUCUACUUCUGGUAUAUGGAACGUUUUGAGUAUGUUAACUGUGGGUAAUAAUGGAGAACGCAUGUCAUUUUUAUUUUACUUCUGGUAUAUGGAACGUUUUGAGUAUGUUAACUGUGGGUAAUAAUGGAGAACGCAUGUCAUUUUUAUUCUACUUCUGGUAUAUGGAACGUUUUGAGUAUGUUAACUGUGGGUAAUAAUGGAGAACGCAUGUCAUUUUUAUUCUACUUCUGGUAUAUGGAACGUUUUGAGUAUGUUAACUGUGGGUAAUAAUGGAGAACGCAUGUCAUUUUUAUUUUACUUCUGGUAUAUGGAACUUUUUGCAUUUUUAGCUCUUCAACCAACCAUAUAAAUUCAUGUAUCGUGACAAAAAUAUCUAACCACUAAUAUUUUAACAAAUAGUACAGCACGAAGUACCAAUUUCUGACAAUACGCGUGUACAUGUAUAUGACUAUUGAUGAAUAAAAUCCCUCCUAUUUGACGGCUUGAUAUUA